UGGGGAAUAUUGCACAAUGGGCGCAAGCCUGAUGCAGCCAUGCCGCGUGUAUGAAGAAGGCCUUCGGGUUGUAAAGUACUUUCAGCGGGGAGGAAGGCGAUAAGGUUAAUAACCUUGUCGAUUGACGUUACCCGCAGAAGAAGCACCGGCUAACUCCGUGCCAGCAGCCGCGGUAAUACGGAGGGGGCAAGCGUUAAUCGGAAUUACUGGGCGUAAAGCGCACGCAGGCGGUCUGUCAAGUCGGAUGUGAAAUCCCCGGGCUCAACCUGGGAACUGCAUUCGAAACUGGCAGGCUAGAGUCUUGUAGAGGGGGGUAGAAUUCCAGGUGUAGCGGUGAAAUGCGUAUAGAUCUGGAGGAAUACCGGUGGCGAAGGCGGCCCCCUGGACAAAGACUGACGCUCAGGUGCGAAAGCGUGGGGAGCAAACA
rnacentral:rRNA from 1 species